rnacentral:rRNA from 1 species
GACGAACCGUGCAAACGUUGUUCGGAAUCACUGGGCUUAAAGGGCGCGUAGGCGGGCCAGCCAGUCUGUGGUGAAAGCCUCCAGCUUAACUGGAGAAGUGCCGUGGAUACUGCUGGCCUCGAGGAGGAUAGGGGCAUCUGGAACGGUCGGUGGAGCGGUGAAAUGCGUUGAUAUCGACCGGAACUCCGGUGGCGAAGGCGAGGUGCUGGGUCCUUUCUGACGCUGAGGUGCGAAAGCUAGGGGAGCGAACAGG